rnacentral:lncRNA from 1 species
AAAGGUCAGCUGGGAUGGUAUUUAAGAGGAAAACUGAAGUCACAUUUUUAAUACUUAAGACAGCUGCUUUAUGUUCAGAGGCCUCUCUGAUGAGGUCCUUCUGUGCUGACUGCAGUCUGUUCUCCGGGGUGGAUGCAGACUGGAAGAAAAAAAAAAAAGUCAUUGUCCUUCACUGAUCCUUUCAUGGCCCGUAACUGCACGGAUUCUGAAGAAACCAGUGAAAUCUCUGCACCAGAUUUUAUUUAUUCGUCGGGGACGCGGACACGGAGAGAGAGGGGAGAGAGAGCACGGACAGGGCAGCAGGCAGAGGGCCAAGCACCGGACCCGAACAGCAGGCAGACAUCCCACCCCCGGAGCCCCCCAGGCAUCCCGGAGACAUUAUGUCCAGAGAAUAAUUUUGACCUUGUG